UUUGCGUAACCACAUUCAUCUUAGUUACUAACCUGAAAACUAGAGGGCGAUAGUAGGUACUUAACGCGAUAACAGUACAAACUAUCAAAGAAUACAGUAUGCUUGGACUUUCAACUAUGGAUUUUGAAGGGGACGGAAAAUUUUAUCCUCGAAAUCAUCACUGCGCAGGAGCGUUAAAAUAAUUACUUAAAAACGAAGAUAUUCUUCGUACAGAAACACGAUAUAUACAUUUUUUCGACAUACUCUGCAUUUUAUGGAUGUAGGCUUCUCAUACUUACACGGGUAUUUCAAAUUGUUAAAUUUAACAAUAAACCUUUGAGAUUUUCUUCUA
rnacentral:lncRNA from 1 species